rnacentral:misc_RNA from 1 species
UUGUGGACAGCUGUAGUUUGUAAGGACAAUCAUACAUGUUGUUUGUCAAUUAUUCAUGUAUAUUGUACAUUGUUUUAUUUAAAUUAUGAUUAAAGAUCUACACAUUUAAUCAUACUUAUUAUUAUUUUUAACAUAAUCAGUAUAUUAAAUUUUAAACACAAGAAUUUUAUGUGUCAUGUAUGUGUAAACUUUUACUUUAUGAAUUUUUGAAAUAAAAUUUUUAUGUUAUUGUUUGAGUUAAAACAGAAGGUCAGUAAGAUUGUCUUCAGAAGUUUUUUGAGAAUUAUUAAACAGAAACUACAAUUAAUGAACAAAGUUAAAAUAAAUCUUUAAAGUGGGAUAUAAGAAAUAUCGUAAAUUUUCACUUAAUUCACAACAAUUAAUAUUGUAAAAAAGGACAUCAAAUUAUUGUAAAAACAUUCAGCAGAACAAAAUUUUUAACUUUUUAACGAAAUGUAUGACAGUUUAAGUAAGCCUUCCCAUUUUGUAAAUUAUAGGACUUCUAGAGAAUAUUUAAAAAAAUUUUGUAAUUAACUUGCAUGAAAUCAUUAGAAAAUUCCGCUUGAUAAUUAAUAUUGAAAUUAGAGUAGAUAUCAUGUGGAUGUACAGUAAGUAUAAUGCAUUUCGUUAUUUAUGGCGCCUCAAUCCCGUACACAGGCACGUGUUGUACAAUAUGUUGUUGAUUUGACUUUCAGUGUACAUUAAACUUGUCUAAAAACUGU